UAUAUUGUUGCUGACAGAAGAUAGAGAGCACAGAUGGGGAGAUGCAUAAAUUCAAGGGAAAGCUUCUCUUUCAUUUGUGCUCUCUAUUCUUCUGUCAUCACCUUUCA
rnacentral:pre_miRNA from 1 species